rnacentral:lncRNA from 1 species
UUCAAUUGUUUGAAUAAUGCUAGUCACUUUUGUAAUUUAAUUUAAGUAAAUUUAACCUGUCCCAAUUAGGCCAUGGUCCCUUCAAAUUUCCGAAAUGUGUAUGGCAUUGAGAUGGUUAAUGAAUUCAGUUUACUCAAAGGUAAAUUCAUGGCAAGCUCUUGAAAUGGGCAAGCAGAACUCUUUUCUACAAUUGUGCUAUCAUGCUGGCAGCUCCAAUUUAUCAAGCUUAAAGUAUUGCCAAUUUUGCUGUUCAAAUCUCUAUGCUAGAGUAAUUGGAUUUGCAAACCAGGAACUGGUACCCAACAGCACACCAUCAUGACUACCAUCAUUACUUCUACUACCAUUAACACCAUUUAAUGACUGUACUAUGAACCAGGCACUGUGGGGCAGAUGUAUGGUGAAUUUGGGAGACUGACAAAGCCACAUGGCAUUUUACCAAGUGGAUAAUCACAAAAGAGAAUUGACCAACAAAGACGAAAUUGCAACAAAGCAAUGAAAAGUGAUAAUGCUGGAAGUGAAAUUCAAAUCAAACUUAAGUGAAGUUAUAGAAGAAAUAAGUGACUGAGAGAAUGGUGACACUGUCCUUAUUCAGGAGACUCUGAGUGUGCAGGCAAAGGAACUUAGUGAAGGCAAACUCAGCAUAAAUGAGGAAAGUGGUCGUGAUGAAAAAGAUGGACAUGUACCAGAUGAAGCAGCAUUGGCAAAAAAUUUCACAUUAAAGGAACGUGCAGAGAUAUUUCACAACAUUAACAUCGCAAAGGAUAAAAAAUUGCAAGAUGAUCUAUACUUAGAAAGGAGUAUGACAAUUUGUCAAGGCAUAGAAAAGAUGCUAAUGAGUAUAUGAGAAGGAGGGAAGUACUGCCAAACUAUUCUUAGUGAGUUUUUUACAAAGGAAUAAAACACAUGAUUGUUUCUAAUGUUUUAAA